CGGCUCGCUGCGCUGCAGCCUGCCUCCCUCCCUCCCAGCGCCACACACGGCCCCUCCGCCAAUCACCGCGCCGCAACGCGCGGGCAGCGCACCGCCCGUGACGUCAGCCGGGGCCAUGGCAACGGCGAAGGCGCGAGCACGAGCCCGCGCCUCCCUCUCCCGUUCUCCGGCGCGCCGCAGGGCGGAGGCCUCGCCAACCGCCACGGGCGCGCGGGUCGGCGGGACACGCCUAGAAUUGGCGGUCCCGCCCGCGGGCGCGUGCACCCGCCGCCCCCCCCCCCCCCCCAUUCCCCCAACAACGACUGCGGAGCCGAGCGGGGCGGGGGGUCGGCCGCGCUGCGGGGCUGCCGCAGGACCCGGCCCGGCCGGGGCAGGGCGGUGUCCCGCCCGCUCGGCCCUGGCCUCUGACACGGCUGCCUCGUCCGGCACGGCUUGGCUUGGCACGGCACGGCACGGCACGGCCGGGAGUCCCCUUCACCCGCCCCUGCCUUCACCACCGGUCGGCUGAGGAGACCCGCGGUGGCGGAGCUGGCCCCGGGCGCUGUGUGGAAUUCUAGUGCCUUCCAUUUACUCCAAGGUUUAAUGAAUUUCAUUCACGUUCCUGUGGAAUAUUGCUGGAACACUUGUGAAGAGAGCUAAAAAAAAGCAAAGCGGGCAAUAUCGGGUAGAGCAAAGCUCACCAGAAUUUACUAGCUGUGUCAGGUGAGAACAUUGCUGUUGCUUAAUUUAAAUGUGAAGAAGAAUAUAACCUUUCUUUUUACUUCCCCAGUGAUGCUUUGUUGGGCUAUACAGAUACAGAGUUCGUUUUUGAAACAAGCAUUGUAACACUCAGGUUCAUAAUGUAUUCCAAUACACAAUGCUUCGUCUUAUCUGUUUUUAUAUUUUAUCAUUAUUUUCCACUUUAGGAAGCAAUAGGAGGAGAGCUCGAGAGCUGUACUUGAACACAGAUGGUAUGAUGGCACAGCAUUUGCUGCAACUUGCUUCAAGUUAUGUUACAGAGUUCAUUUUUAACAUAAGCUUUAAACCUUUAUUUUGUAGAAAAGUCUCAUUGAAAUGGCAACCACCCAUAUAUAGACUAUACAUUUUCAGAGGUGCUUGAAUAUUUUGUGGUAACAUGAUGAAAAAUUAACUGAUACAGGAAAAUUAAUAAUCCUUAAAAGUGUGUAAAGAAUCCAGACUGGAGCAUAUGUUAGAUGAAGCACAGGUAUGUAUUGCUUUUUGGUAUCUCCAGGAAGUAUAGGGGAACUCCUUGUGAAGUAGCCUGUAAUACUGUAUUAAUAGUUUUGUGGAAGGAAAACAUCAGCCUUUCCAUUCAUUCCUUUCCAUUAUUUCUGGUUUUGGAGUGAAUGGAACAUCUCCUGCAACAACCCUAAUUGCCACUAACCAUAGUUUGUGUUUGCCAACAGCCCCAUGUGUCAAUAGAUGCUGCACUCCUUCCCCUUUAAGUGGGUUAUUUCUGCCAAACACCAUUUCCACUCCUCUGGAUUUCAUGAAUGCUGCCAUUUGAAACAGAUCCAAGGAAUUAGACAUUACUCACCUUUGCAUACGCUGUCUCGUGAACAGAUACUCUCCUGCUGUCUUCUAUUCUUAUAUUUCCUGCACUUUUUCCCCAGCAUGGAAUGUUUUAUUUUGUCUUUCUUAUUACAGUUUUGACCAGGGAACUUUGUCUCUUAAAAAGAUAGGCUUUAAGCAGUUUCCCUUUUCUUCAAAAGCAUUUUCCCUUCUGCUCUCCACACAGCUUUUUGUUCAAUGACUUGCACUUUCACUAUCUCAGACUGUCAGGCGUACUUGUCGGCAGCUAGGAGCAAAAACUCAUUUGUAGAGUUAGACACAUUUGCAUAUAAAAGUAUAUAUAUAUAUGUUUAUUUACAUUGCUUCUCUCUUUCUUAUAUGAGAGGAAGAAACUGAGGGACAGGGUGGGGGGACGACCCAGAUAUCUUUUAUUUUCCCUCUACCACAGCAUUUAGUUCUUUCUUCUUCCCUCUCAUCCUUUGUCCCAUAAGUGUUUAGUUAUUCUUCCCUGUGCCUAACCAUGUUUAAUUAAAAGUGGACAGGUAGCAAGGCAGGGUUAUCUAUGAACUAGAAGAUGGCAGGAUUUUUGGGGGGUUACCCUCGCAUAGGCCACAGAAGGCAGUCCAGGAAGUCUGUAGGAAUAGCUCUUCAAAGUCGGCGAAUGUGGUCAGGACCGGAAGGCACGGCAGUGGUUGCUCUCAGUGCUAACCAGGCUGCUGCUAGAAAAUGGAGAUGUUCUGAUUGACUGUUUUUUUCCUGGGAACAGGAAAAUGAGGAAAGGCAGCCUAGCAAAGGGCAUUUCUCUGGAGACCAGGAGAUGAUUCUGCAAAUCUGCGGCCUGCAGGGGGAAAAAAAAAGAAGAGUUGGCAGCUCUGUUGUAUGCUCUCCUGCUGUCAGGAGCUACUUUUCUGAAAGCUGCUUGCUCAAAAUCCUGACUGUUUUGACUUUGUUACAUACAUACCUUUCUGUGCUGAUUCUCAGGCUACAUGAUUAUACUGUAUAUAGGAGUACUCUUAUGCAGCCUUUGUGUGUUUCUGUAGGGCUUUGAGCCUCUUGCCUUCCACUUAGCAAGAGCAAGAUCAUCAGAGUAUUACCACUUUUCUGGAAUAAAAAACAUUUAUUAACAUUUUUAGGAAUAUGUCCUAGCUAUCUUUAUUUCCUUGGCCACAGCCUGUGAUUUACAAGUCAAACUUCAAGCUUUGCCAAGGGAAUGAGAUACUUCAUUCCUCUCCCUUGUAGUCUGUGCUGUUGGAUCAACUGACACCCUUUGUCCUUGGGAUACUCUUGUAGGUUGACCCAACUGAGAGACUUCAGUGAAGGAUGGGUGCAUUUUAGAUUUUUCUUUUUGUUCCUUUUUCCCCCUGCAGUGGUCUAAAAUUAGUCAGAUUCUGACUCUGUGUCAGGUGCCAGUGAUAAAACAUACAAAUUGUGUAAAAGGCUGCUAUUUUCCAUCACUGAGUGGAAAGUAGUUAGAGCUGCUGGAUCCCACAUGGCCUUUCUCUCUGCCUCAUCAAAGAUGUCAUGAGAACCUUCUCUAACCUCCUCACCUGUCUAUCCAUAGCCAAAUUUUAUAGAAAAUGGCAUAUUUAGCUGAAGAAUCAGAGUACCAGUGAGGCCUGCUUAAGUAAUCCCAUACCUUGGAUUAAAAUCCUGAAACGAUUUUGGAUGUGGACUAGUUUAAAUAUAUAUAUAUAUAUUAGAGAGUUAGUGAGUGAUUGGAAGUGUCCCCUAGGAUGAUUCCUCAGAUUUGGCCGUCAAUAAAACACAAAGGUAAUUUUCACAAAAAUAAUUUUAAAAUGUUUGCAAACAUCUUGUCACCAAAUUGACAAGUAUCCAAGAAGGAUGUCAGGAUACCCGCUGAAUAAAUGGCAUCGAAGUGAUGAACAUUCCUUCAUUCUGAAAAAAAGUGAUGUAAAAUGGCAACUUCCUUCACAGAACUUGUCACCAAAUGAUGAAGAUAAAUCAGCACUGUUCUUUACUGCAUACUGACCUUCCUGAGAAAGGAAGCUAGAUACUGUUCUUUCUCAUUUAUAAAAAGCUCCAGGAAGGUAUGAAAGGCUUUAAGUUUGUACAGGUGUCAUUAAAAAGCUGAAUUUAAUCUAAAUAACUUAUAUUUCUGACUUUUAGCAUAUGACAUGGGGAAGAACAUCAGGACCUGGUUGCACUUGAAGGGCUGCAGUAGCUUUCUGUAAGCAGUGAGUUGGCAGGAGAGCUUGAGAGGUCUGGGUGAGAAGGCUCCUAUCUGUAGAGUGUAGGUCCAUAUACAGAUCUCAUUUGGUUCCUUUCAUUGUCGUGUCUGAGUGCAUCAGUUACAUCUGAGCACCUACGUAUUGAAUGUAAAAGUGUGCAAAGUCUUGCAUUGCUGGGAGCUCAUUUUGAAAUCAGGCAACUUGGCAUUGCUUUAGGUGUAUCUACUUUCCCAUGGAAAAUUCAGUUUGUUUCUGUGUUGUACCUGACUUGAUUCUACAGUAUUAGAUGCAAACUCAAAAGCUGCACGGAAGAACAAAGUUCAUCACUCUUGAAUAAGAUUGAUUAAUCAGACUAUUUCAAGAUGCAGCAAGGGAACGUUUUAGGGAUGCUGCUGCAGUCAUCAGAACCAUGAAGAAAUCAAAUGAAAUAUCCCCAACCAUCAGCAACAUAAAGGAGGUUUAACACGGGUGUUUGAAACCGCUUGGCUAGACAGAGACCUGCAAGUGCAACAUAUAUGUUUUAUAUAUUAUGCUUUUAUUAUAUUCUCAUUCCUAUCUGAUUGCCCAAUGCUGAGGCGUUUGUGUGUCUUCCAAACAUACAUUGAAAGAGCAUAUCACAUAUGUUUUCUCCUCCAUUUCUCCCUACGGGAAGCAAGAUGGAUGGUGCCAAAACGGCGUACUUUGCGCUGGGAUGCGUGAAGGCAGUUGGCUGCCCACGCCACUGGGAGCGUCGACUGAACGUGGGUCCUCCAGGGCUGGAA